AUGGCAGAGAGGUCACACCCGUUCCCAUACCGAACACGGAAGUUAAGCUCUCUAGCGCCGAUGGUAGUUGGGACCUUGUCCCUGUGAGAGUAGGAC
rnacentral:rRNA from 1 species